UUUUGUAUAAUGGGUCAGCGACUUAUAUUCUGUAGCAAGGUUAACCGUAUAGGGGAGCCGAAGGGAAACCGAGUCUUAACUGGGCGUUAAGUUGCAGGGUAUAGACCCGAAACCCGGUGAUCUAGCCAUGGGCAGGUUGAAGGUUGGGUAACACUAACUGGAGGACCGAACCGACUAAUGUUGAAAAAUUAGCGGAUGACCUGUGGCUGGGGGUGAAAGGCCAAUCAAACCGGGAGAUAGCUGGUUCUCCCCGAAAGCUAUUUAGGUAGCGCCUCGUGAACUCAUCUUCGGGGGUAGAGCACUGUUUCGGCUAGGGGGCCAUCCCGGCUUACCAACCCGAUGCAAACUACGAAUACCGAAGAAUGUUAUCACGGGAGACACACGGCGGGUGCUAACGUCCGUCGUGAAGAGGGAAACAACCCAGACCGCCAGCUAAGGUCCCAAAGUCAUGGUUAAGUGGGAAACGAUGUGGGAAGGCACAGACAGCCAGGAUGUUGGCUUAGAAGCAGCCAUCAUUUAAAGAAAGCGUAAUAGCUCACUGGUCGAGUCGGCCUGCGCGGAAGAUGUAACGGGGCUAAACCAUGCAC
rnacentral:rRNA from 1 species